UUGGUUGGCUCUGUACUCUGAAGAACAAAAUGGAAAAAACUCUAGGUAAAACCACGUAAACCCUCUUCACUUCAGCAGAGAUUAUCAAUUAAAAGCAGAGAAAAGAUAAAUAAAAGUCAGACCCAUCAUUUGUCAACAUAACACGCAAGCAAACGUCAUUGGAAUAUUUGCGUGAACAUGAAAAGUCUUCCGGAAAUAUUGCUAUUGACAGCUGUUGCUGUUGUGGUCAUCAGUGCCGAUGAUCCCUUGAAUCCAAAGGAACAGAAGGAGAAGGCUACCAAUUUGCCACCAUGCAAAGCAUGUUCCACAUUGGCAGCUUCGUUCAAAUUGGGAAUGGAUAAUACUAGCCGUGGCAAACAUGCUGGCGGUGAUGCUGCUUGGGAGGAAGAAAAAUUGCGUUCAUAUAAAACAAGUGAGGUGCGUUUGGUGGAAAUACAGGAAAAUCUUUGCCAAGAAGUGCGACGAGGUCAAACUCAAUGUCACAACAUGGCCAAUGAUCAUGAACAUCUGCUGGAGGAGUGGUUUACUCACAAACAGACUGAAGAACCCGAUGUCCACAAAUGGUUGUGUAUAGACCAACUAAAAGUUUGUUGUCCUGAGGGACAUUAUGGUGCAGAAUGUAAACAGUGUACCGAUUGCCAUGGCAAUGGCAAGUGUAAAGGUGAUGGCACCCGCAAAGGAAAUGGUAAAUGUAAUUGUGAUGCUGGCUAUGCUGGCGAUGAUUGUAAUCAAUGUGCCAAUGGUUAUUAUGAAGCGUUCCGCGACGAGAAGAAGCUGCUGUGUUCGGCAUGCCACAAAGCGUGUACGAAGGAUGGCGGAUGCAAGGGUGCUGGACCAAAAGCUUGCACAAAAUGCAAUGAAGGUUGGCGUUGGGAUGCCACAAAUGGUUGCCAAGACAUCAAUGAAUGUCUCGAUAGCCCCAGAACCUGCCGGCCAAAUCAAUUUUGUGUUAACAAUGAAGGAACCUAUUCCUGUUUAGAAUGUGAUCGUUCGUGUGAAGGAUGCGAUGGUGAUGGUCCGGAUAUGUGUAAAAAAUGUGCCUCCGGUUAUACACUGAAGGAUGGAAAGUGUACUGACGAUUCGAAUGAGAAACGUGAUCAAUAUGUGAACAUAACACGUUUUCUAACAUAUUUCGGUCUGUGUGUGGCCACUUGUGUUAUAUUUCAAAGUUCAACGCACAUUGCCUACAUUGUUGGAGCAGCUGUGGCAAUUUAUAUUGCCGCUUCGGAAUAUUGGCUUAGUUCCACGCCAGCCGGUGCAAAUAAGCCACAAAUCGAUACUAAACAAUUGGAAGAAAUGCUAAUGAAAUCAUUGUAAGAGGAAGGCCAAAGAAUAAGAAUAUAACUACAAGCAGCAUCCAUUCCAUUUGUAUCCAUUUGUUUUGCCUAGAAAAUUUAUACACCAUAAUAUUUUUAAACUACAAUUAAGUGUUCAAACAUAACUACUUUUUUUUUUUUUAAUUUGCUAAAGCCGCAACGUAAAAUGAAGCAAACAUGAUUAGAGAACAGAGCAGCAUCAGCGUUUAUUCUGUGAAUAAAUGAAAGCACAAAACCAUGACCAUAAUGGAAUGCCUUUUACAAGAAAAAUAUACGAGGAUGAUUCUUUAGAUGAGGAAGAAAACCACGAUGAUGAUGACGACACAUAUACGCAAAUAGAAGCUCCUCAUCUUAAAGAUGAAUUAUGAUUAAUUUAGACCAUAAAGAGUAUAUACAAACAAAUAUGUACGUUUAGAAUAGCACAAUUAGACAUUUGAAAAUCACCUCUUGUCCAAUCAACCAAGGAACCACUUCCAUGAUUAUUUAAAUUAAGCUACCAUUAAGACAACAAAAGUACCAUGCACUGUGUUAAUUGUAUAAGUUAGCCAAAAAGAAAAUUAAACAACCUAAGUCAAAACAAGCAAAACCAUAAAACAUCGAUACAACAUGGAUUUCAAUUAUUUAUUAUAAUUUGUAAUUCUGUUCAAAUCAUUUUUUUAAAAAUAAAUUUAGAAAAAAAUUUA